AUACGUAGGGGGCGAGCGUUGUCCGGAAUGAUUGGGCGUAAAGGGCGCGUAGGCGGCCCGGUAAGUCUGGAGUGAAAGUCCUGUUUUUAAGAUGGGAAUUGCUUUGGAUACUGUCGGGCUUGAGUGCAGGAGAGGUAAGUGGAAUUCCCAGUGUAGCGGUGAAAUGCGUAGAGAUUGGGAGGAACACCAGUGGCGAAGGCGACUUACUGGACUGUAACUGACGCUGAGGCGCGAAAAUGUGGGGAGCAAACAGGAUUAGAUACCCUGGUAGUCCACACUGUAAACGAUGAAUGCUAGGUGUAGGGGGUAUCGACCCCUUCUGUGCCGCAGUCAACACAAUAAGCAUUCCGCCUGGGGAGUACGGCCGCAAGGUUGAAACUCAAAGGAAUUGACGGGG
rnacentral:rRNA from 1 species